CUCAGUUUCUCUUGCGAAGAGGAUUAAAAGGGAAUCGGGUGAGAAUCCCGGACAGUCCCGCUGCUGUGAGCUUUCAAGAAAAGACGGAGACAUUCUAAGGCCACUGUUUUCCAGAGAAGAAGAUGGGAAGGCGUCUCCAGUCGGAAGCGAGUCAGAAGACCUGCAAUGC
rnacentral:ncRNA from 1 species